AAGAUCUUCUCAGAUGUUUCCAACUGUCCAAUUACAGAGGGUAAUAUUAUAUAUUUCAGGGUCUGGUUGAUGUAACUUAAAAAGCUCUAUGAAGCAGUUUUGGUCAAUUCACCUAACCUAUCUGAGCUUCAAAUUUCUCACCUAUACAAUGUCAGUGGUAAUACUUGAUAAUGUUUAUUGAAUAUUUACUAUAUUCCAGGCACUAUGCUGUAUGCUUUCAUUAACUCACUUAAUACUUCUAACAACCCCUUAAAGUAGGUUUUAUUAUUACUCCAUUUCCCAGAUACAAAACUAAGGCUUGGCGAUUAAGCAAAUUAUUGAAGAACACACAACCAAUGGGUGGUCUGGUAGGAAUGCAAAACCAGGUCCCAGUGGCCUAUAUGCAUAUGAAACUCUGAAAGAAUGGACCUUCCUCUCAGAUGGAUGGAACUAGAAUUUCAAGAGGGUGAGGGAGAGCCCCUGCUGUUGUCUCUCUCUAUCCUCCCACUGCUUGGUUCUGGAUAUGGGAUAUGCAGGAAUUACAUGGCAGAAUGGGCAAAUAAAGUCCAGCUUUCUACCAGAAGAUUAAAAAAAGGAAUCUCAGAGAAUUGGAAUGUAUCACGGAGAUAGCAGAGAGGGAAAAGUUCAGGAAAGUAAACUCAUAAAAGUAUUUCUGAACUCCUAGUCUUAUGACCUGUACAAAUACAGGUUGACCUCAACCAGCAUCCUAUAAACUUUGAGAAUUGAACUAUAGGACAGAUUAUUGGCCAGGUCUCAGAAUGGCCACUGGAUGGUGCAAACCUGGGUCUGAUCUGAAUACCACUACAAAGCUUUGAAAAUGGAAUAGACAUUGAAACUACAGAAGGCUGUUUGAAACUUGUGGCGUCAAUCCAAACAUGCUGUUCAUCCAGUAAAACAAAAACUUCAAAAUUCUUCAUAGAUUUGAAUAAGACCCAGCAUCUUAAAACAUAAUCCAAAAUGUCCAUGAUAAAAUAAAAAAUUACUCAGCAAAUGAAGAACCAGUAAAAUCUCAAAUUGCAUGGAAAAGGCAGUUAACAAAUGCCAAUGCUGAGAUGAUAUAGAUGUUGAAAUUAUCUGACAAAGACUUUACAACAGCUAUUAUAAACACGCUCCAAGAAGUAAGAGUAAAUAUUUUUGAAAUGAGUGGAAAGAUAGAAAGUCUCAUAAAAAUUGAAAUUAUAAAGAAUGACAUAAAAAUGUUAGAGCCAAAAAGUAGAAUAACAACUCAUUAGAUGAGCUCAAUAUAAUAGAAAUGUCAAAGGCAAGAGUUAGUAGACUGAAGAUAGAUCAAUAGAAAUUAUCCAACCUGAGCAACUGAGAGAAAAGAAUACUGAAAAAAACAAACAAACAAACAAACAAAAAAACAUGAAUAGAGUCUCAGGGACCUGUGUGAUAAUCACAAAAUGUGUAAUAUUUAUAUCAGUGGAGUCUCGGAAAGAGAAGAGAAAAUGAAGUGCAUUUUCCAAAAAACGUUAGAAAAUAAAUGGCUGAAAAGUUUAAGUUUUGUGAAAGACAUAAACUUGCAUAUUCCAGAAGCUAAGGAAACUCCAAACAGAAAAAGACAAACAAAUAAACAACUCCCCCACCCACAAAAAACCCAAGCCCAGAUACAUAAUAAUGAAACUGCUGAAAACUAAAGACAAAGUAUUAAAAACAGCCAAAGAAAAAAAUAGCACAUGACUUAUGGGGAGCAAUGUUUCAGCUGACUGUAGAUCUGUCAUAAGAAGCCAUGAAGACAGAACAAAGUGGUGUGACGUUUUAAAAGUCACUAUAAAUUUCUCAUGAAAAACUAUGAAGCCAGAAAGAAGUGGCAUGACAUUUUUUAAGUGCUGAAAGCAAAGGAAUAUUAACCCACAACUCUAUAUUCAGGAAAAUAUGCAUGACAAAUGAAGGAGAAAUAAAGAUAUUCUCAGAAGAAGGAAAACUAAGAGAAUUCUUAACCAGCAGACCUCCUUGAGAAGAACUUCUAAACAUUUCUUCUAAACAGACAGAAGGGCUCUAACCCGAGCUUCAAGCCCCAUUUGUAUGCAGCUGUCCAUGGGUGUCAGUAGUUGUUUGACUUAGCAGAGCCGAGAGCCCCGGGUUGGGAGUGGAGAGAAAAAAGGGAAGAGCUGCAUUCCAGUCAACAUGCUCCUGGAAGGACCUGACCUCUCCCGCUCACUUUUUAAAAAGGCUCCAUAGUCAAGGAAAGCUUUCUUGGAAGAAAUCUACAGCUGGGUUGCUGUUGACACUCUUUGUAUCAGAAGAAAGCCAUCCACGAUGGUCAGAGAAGCACAUCACAGCACCGAUUGCCAAAUUGCUUUGGCACAUGCAUGUGUGUGGGCGGGGACUGUGGCUGUGUCUUGGACACUGCCCAGCACUCAGUGGGCACUUAUUAAAUAUGGAAUAACAAGAAGUAUUUUAGAGGGAAAUGGCUGUCUGACACAAACAAGACAGCAAUUUUUUCACAUGUCACCCAUUUAAAGGUGUAGCAGCUGUGGAGUAGAGCCUUUAUUGUAUAUGUAGGCACCAAAGAAACGUACUAAAAUAGAGUUGCACUUAUCAUAGCCAAAGUCAUAACUGUUACACAAUGAAGAGUAGAUGCUUAAUCUCUGCUUUGCUUUACACUGACAGCGAAUAGAAUCGAUUUCAAAUGAUACCUUGUCUCUAUUUCAGUCUGCCUUUUUUCUCCUCCUUGAAACUAUGAGAGGAUGCUAGUUAUGCAUCAUUUGAGGACUGGAGAAGAGAAGUCUUUCUUCUGCUUUCUUCUGCCCACAUCCUUAUAAGUGUGGAAAAAGUCUACACAUCACAGAGAUGCCCUUAGACUCCAUAUAAUGGCCAGGACAUAAACCCAGACUCAUGUGCAAUGAUAGAGGGAUGCUAGGUUCAUGCUGACACCCCUGUCCACUCCACCACCAUCACCAAUGCCACCAUGCCUAGCACAGCAGUGAUGGCUGCAGCGGAGUUACCCGGCCUCAUGCUCAGUGAAGUCACUGGUAACUACGACUCCACAUGAGGAAUAGAUUUUUGCAUGUAUAAAAAUUAAGAGCAGUACCUCAAGGACAUGCGGGAACACCAGGUUAGAGCUAAGCCCUGUGCAGCCUCAUUUUUAGGAGUGAAGGAAGGACCAGUAAUGAAGGAAUAAAAAUAUUUGAAACAUUCACUUUCUCACACUUUUAUGCCACUCACAGUCUGCUGGGGACAAAGAUGUGAAGUUAGGAAUGUCCAAUCAAGACUAACAUUUUCGAUUUUAAGAUCACAGAUCACUUUGCCAGUCUGAUGAAAUCUAUGGACUCCUUUCCAGAAAAAUGCAUGUGACACAAAAUUGUAAAUAUAAUUUUAGAAGGUUGAUUGCCACCCAAACCCUGUUUAAGAACUCUGCUCUGAAGAAUUAAGGGAAAGACAGCAAGGGAGGACUACUUAUUAGGCUUGUAUAGAAACUGUAGGGCUAAAAUGGAGUAGAGUAUAUUAGUUUCCUAUUGCUGUCGUAAUAAAUCACCCCCAUUCAGUGCCUUAAAACAACACAAAUUAAUCUUCUUACAGUUGUGGAGGUCAGAGGCCUAAAAAUGGUUCAGUAGAGCUGCGUUCCUUCUGGAGGCUCUAGGGGAGAAUCUGUUUCCCUACCUAUCCCAGCAGCUGAUUUCUUGAUUCACAGCCCCACAUCACUCCAACCUCUGCUUUCAUUAUUAUAUCUUGUUCUCUGACUCUGACUCUCACCUGCCUUUUAUAAGGACCUCUGGGAUUGCAUUGGACCCACCUGGAUUAUGCAAAAUAAUCA
rnacentral:lncRNA from 10 species